AGUUUGUGUUAUUGACAAAUGGUACAGGGCCAGGUGUGUGUUAUUGACCAGGUGUGUGUUAUUGACCAGGUGUGUGUUAUUGACCAGGUGUGUGUUAUUGACCAGGUGUGUGUUUAUUGAUCAGGGCCAGGUGUGUGUUAUUGACCAGGUGUGUGUUAUUGACCAGGUGUGUGUUUAUUGAUCAGGGCCAGGUGUGUGUUAUUGACCAGGUGUGUGUUUAUUGAUCAGGGCCAGGUGUGUGUUAUUGACCAGGUGUGUGUUAUUGACCAGGUGUGUGUUUAUUGAUCAGGGCCAGGUGUGUGUUAUUGACCAGGUGUGUGUUAUUGACCAGGUGUGUGUUAUUGACCAGGUGUGUGUUAUUGACCAGGUGUAUGUUAUUGACCAGGUGUGUGUUAUUGACCAGGUGUGUGUUAUUGACCAGGUGUGUGUUUAUUGAUCAGGGCCAGGUGUGUGUUAUUGACCAGGUGUGUGUUAUUGACCAGGUGUGUGUUUAUUGAUCAGGGCCAGGUGUGUGUUAUUGACCAGGUGUGUGUUUAUUGAUCAGGGCCAGGUGUGUGUUAUUGACCAGGUGUGUGUUUAUUGAUCAGGGCCAGGUGUGUGUUAUUGACCAGGUGUGUGUUAUUGACCAGGUGUGUGUUUAUUGAUCAGGGCCAGGUGUGUGUUAUUGACCAGGUGUGUGUUAUUGACCAGGUGUGUGUUUAUUGAUCAGGGCCAGGUGUGUGUUAUUGACCAGGUGUGUGUUAUUGACCAGGUGUGUGUUAUUGACCAGGUGUAUGUUAUUGACCAGGUGUGUGUUAUUGACCAGGUGUGUGUUAUUGACCAAAUCAAAUCAAAUCAAAUGUAUUUAUAUAGCCCUUCGUACAUCAGCUGAUAUCUCAAAGUGCUGUACAGAAACCCAGCCUAAAACCCCAAACAGCAAACAAUGCAGGUGUAGAAGCACGUGACCAGGUGUGUGUUAUUGACCAGGUGUGUGUUAUUGACCAGGUGUGUGUUAUUGACCAGGGCCAGGUGUGUGUUAUUGACCAGGGCCAGGUGUGUGUUAUUGACCAGGUGUGUGUUAUUGACCAGGUGUGUGUUAUUGACCAGGUGUAUGUUAUUGACCAGGGCCAGGUGUGUGUUAUUGACCAGGUGUAUGUUAUUGACCAGGUGUGUGUUAUUGACCAGGUGUAUGUUAUUGACCAGGGCCGUGUUAUUGACCAGGUGUGUGUUAUUGACCAGGUGUGUGUUAUUGACCAGGUGUAUGUUAUUGACCAGGGCCAGGUGUGUGUUAUUGACCAGGUGUAUGUUAUUGACCAGGUGUGUGUUAUUGACCAGGUGUGUGUUAUAGACCAGGUGUGUGUUAUUGACCAGGUGUGUGUUAUUGACCAGGUGUGUGUUAUUGACCAGGUGUGUGUUAUUGACCAGGUGUGUGUUAUUGACCAGUGGUCCUUCUGUAGCUCAGUUGGUAGAGCAUGGCGCUUGUAACGCCAGGGUAGUGGGUUCGAUUCCCGGGACCACCCAUACGUAGAAUGUAUGCACACAUGACUGUAAGUCGCUUUGGAUAAAAGCGUCCGCUAAAUGGCAUAUAUUAUUAUUAUUAUUAUUAUUAUUAUUAUUGACCAGGGCCAGGUGUGUGUUAUUGACCAGGUGUGUGUUAUUGACCAGGUGUGUGUUAUAGACCAGGUGUGUGUUAUUGACCAGGUGUGUGUUAUAGACCAGGUGUGUGUUAUUGACCAGGUGUGUGUUAUUGACCAGGUGUAUGUUAUUGACCAGGUGUGUGUUAUUGACCAGGUGUGUGUUAUUGACCAGGUGUGUGUUAUUGACCAGGUGUGUGUUAUUGACCAGGUGUGUGUUAUAGACCAGGUGUGUGUUAUUGACCAGGUGUGUGUUAUUGACCAGGUGUAUGUUAUUGACCAGGUGUGUGUUAUUGACCAGGUGUGUGUUAUUGACCAGGUGUGUGUUAUUGACCAGGUGUGUGUUAUUGACCAGGUGUGUGUUAUAGACCAGGUGUGUGUUAUUGACCAGGUGUGUGUUAUUGACCAGUGGUCCUUCUGUAGCUCAGUUGGUAGAGCAUGGCGCUUGUAACGCCAGGGUAGUGGGUUCGAUUCCCGGGACCACCCAUACGUAGAAUGUAUGCACACAUGACUGUAAGUCGCUUUGGAUAAAAGCGUCCGCUAAAUGGCAUAUAUUAUUAUUAUUAUUAUUAUUAUUAUUAUUGACCAGGGCCAGGUGUGUGUUAUUGACCAGGUGUGUGUUAUUGACCAGGUGUGUGUUAUAGACCAGGUGUGUGUUAUUGACCAGGUGUGUGUUAUAGACCAGGUGUGUGUUAUUGACCAGGUGUGUGUUAUUGACCAGGUGUAUGUUAUUGACCAGGUGUGUGUUAUUGACCAGGUGUGUGUUAUUGACCAGGUGUGUGUUAUUGACCAGGUGUGUGUUAUUGACCAGGUGUGUGUUAUUGACCAGGUGUGUGUUAUUGACCAGGUGUGUGUUAUUGACCAGGUGUGUGUUAUUGACCAGGUGUGUGUUAUUGACCAGGUGUGUGUUAUUGACCAGGUGUGUGUUAUUGACCAGGUGUGUGUUAUUGACCAGGUGUCUGUUAUUGACCAGGUGUGUGUUAUUGACCAGGUGUGUGUUAUUGACCAGGUGUGUGUUAUUGACCAGGUGUGUGUUAUAGACCAGGUGUGUGUUAUAGACCAGGUGUGUGUUAUUGACCAGGUGUGUGUUAUUGAUCAGGUGUGUGUUAUUGACCAGGUGUGUGUUAUUGACCAGGUGUAUGUUAUUAACCAGGUGUGUGUUUAUUGACCAGGGCCAGGUGUGUGUUAUUGACCAGGUGUGUGUUAUUGACCAGGUGUGUGUUAUUGACCAGGUGUGUGUUAUUGACCAGGUGUGUGUUAUUGACCAGGUGUGUGUUAUUGACCAGGGCCAGGUGUGUGUUAUUGACCAGGUGUGUGUUUAUUGACCAGGGCCAGGUGUGUGUUAUUGACCAGGUGUGUGUUAUAGACCAGGUGUGUGUUAUUGACCAGGUGUGUGUUAUUGACCAGGUGUGUGUUAUUGACCAGGUGUGUGUUAUUGACCAGGGCCAGGUGUGUGUUAUUGACCAGGUGUGUGUUAUUGACCAGGUGUGUGUUAUUGACCAGGUGUGUGUUAUUGGCUGUUUACAGGUUAGCUGGUCUUGGCUGCUACAGGUUAGCUGGUCUUGGCUGUUUACAGGUUAGCUGGUCUUGGCUGUUUACAGGUUAGCUGGUCUUGGCUGCUACAGGUUAGCUGGUCUUGGCUGUUUACAGGUUAGCUGGUCUUGGCUGUUUACAGGUUAGCUGGUCUUGGCUGUUUACAGGUUAGCUGGUCUUGGCUGUUUACAGGUUAGCUGGUCUUGGCUGUUUACAGGUUAGCUGGUCUUGGCUGUUUACAGGUUAGCUGGUCUUGGCUGUUUACAGGUUAGCUGGUCUUGGCUGUUUACAGGUUAGCUGGUCUUGGCUGCUACAGGUUAGCUGGUCUUGGCUGCUACAGGUUAGCUGGUCUUGGCUGUUUACAGGUUAGCUGGUCUUGGCUGCUGCAGGUUAGCUGGUCUUGGCUGUUUACAGGUCUUGGCUGUUUACAGGUCUUGGCUGUUUACAGGUUAGCUGGUCUUGGCUGUUUACAGGUCUUGGCUGUUUACAGGUCUUGGCUGUUUACAGGUUAGCUGGUCUUGGCUGUUUACAGGUCUUGGCUGUUUACAGGUCUUGGCUGUUUACAGGUUAGCUGGUCUUGGCUGUUUACAGGUCAGCUGGUCUUGGCUGUUUACAGGUCUUGGCUGUUUACAGGUCUUGGCUGUUUACAGGUUAGCUGGUCUUGGCUGUUUACAGGUUAGCUGGUCUUGGCUGUUUACAGGUCUUGGCUGUAGCUGAGUUAUCGCUGUCGCUCUGCUCCCAUCUCAGCAGCUGCAGCAUUAGAGCCCUCACACAGCACUUAUCAUGUUAAAAACCACAUGUGUUCCUGAUACUAUUAUACCUAGUGUGUGUGUGUGUGUGUGUGUGUGUGUGUGUGUGUGUGUGUGUGUGUGUGUGUGUGUGUGUGUGUGUGUGUGUGUGUGUGUGUGUGUGUGUGUGUGUGUGUGUGUGUGUGUGUGUGUGUGUG